CUGGGGGGAUUCCUCAAACGCCCGACUCCACAACCCCUCCUAAUACAGGCUGAGGGGGGAUUAGAGAUGGCUAGGGUUUGAGGUAGUGUUGUCGAAUCCCCCCUAAUCUCGGACGAUCUUACCCCUCGUAAUCCCCCUUUUCCACUCUCCAAGCUCCAUUUUCUGUUCGCAGUCUUCUCUCGGUCUUGUUCGAAAGAGAAGUGUGGCGAUUUGGGUGCUUUGGUGGAUUUGAAGUUCGAUUCAUCAGGUACCAUUUCUGUCGCAACUCUUCUCGAUAGUGUUUUUGUUCGAAAGAGAAGAAGAGGUUUGUGGUGAUUUGGGUGCUGGUUGAUUUGAGUUCGAUUCACUGAGGUUUUGGCCAAUGAUGAAAUUUUUAGUAGGGCAAUGAUGAAUCGAUUCAAUUCUUAAAUAAGGUAGAUACCUUGGCGGGGUAACGUUAGUUGCAGCCAUGAGUACCCUUAUGAUUCUUACCUAUUGUCUGAGCCCAAUCAAAUCUUAAACUGUGCUUGAUAAUACUAUGUCAUGCUUGAGUGUGUGUGUUGGAAUAUAAGUUGGUGUUGUGGGCAAUGAUGAACAUUCUCUGAGCCUCUGUCGGACGAAUUUGGGCUGCUGUGAUUUGGUUCUGCAAUUUUGUGUUCUGUUUUUGUGUUGGACAUUGUAAGUGCAAGUUGUAAUGGCAUAUAAGUGGUGUUGUGGGCAAUGAUGAACAUUCUCUGAGCCUCUGUCGGACAAAUUUGGGCUACUGUGAUCUGGUUCUGCAGUUUUGUGUUCUGUUUUUGUGUUGGACAUUGUAAGUGCAGGUUGUAAUGGCAUAUAAGUGGUGUUGUGGGCAAUGAUGAACAUUCUCUGAGCCUCUGUCGGACGAAUUUGGGCUACUGUGAUCUGGUUCUGCAGUUUUGUGUUCUGUUUUUGUGUUGGACAUUGUAAGUGCAGGUUCUAAUGGCAUAUAA